AGAGUUUGAUCCUGGCUCAGGAUGAACGCUAGCGACAGGCUUAACACAUGCAAGUCGAGGGGCAGCACAGGUAGCAAUACCGGGUGGCGACCGGCGCACGGGUGAGUAACGCGUAUGCAACUUACCUAUCAGAGGGGGAUAACCCGGCGAAAGUCGGACUAAUACCGCAUGAAGCAGGGGCCCCGCAUGGGGAUAUUUGCUAAAGAUUCAUCGCUGAUAGAUAGGCAUGCGUUCCAUUAGGCAGUUGGCGGGGUAACGGCCCACCAAACCGACGAUGGAUAGGGGUUCUGAGAGGAAGGUCCCCCACAUUGGUACUGAGACACGGACCAAACUCCUACGGGAGGCAGCAGUGAGGAAUAUUGGUCAAUGGACGCAAGUCUGAACCAGCCAUGCCGCGUGCAGGAAGACGGCUCUAUGAGUUGUAAACUGCUUUUGUACGAGGGUAAACUCACCUACGUGUAGGUGACUGAAAGUAUCGUACGAAUAAGGAUCGGCUAACUCCGUGCCAGCAGCCGCGGUAAUACGGAGGAUUCAAGCGUUAUCCGGAUUUAUUGGGUUUAAAGGGUGCGUAGGCGGUUUGAUAAGUUAGAGGUGAAAUCCCGGGGCUUAACUCCGGAACUGCCUCUAAUACUGUUAGACUAGAGAGUAGUUGCGGUAGGCGGAAUGUAUGGUGUAGCGGUGAAAUGCUUAGAGAUCAUACAGAACACCGAUUGCGAAGGCAGCUUACCAAACUAUAUCUGACGUUGAGGCACGAAAGCGUGGGGAGCAAACAGGAUUAGAUACCCUGGUAGUCCACGCAGUAAACGAUGAUAACUCGUUGUCGGCGAUACACAGUCGGUGACUAAGCGAAAGCGAUAAGUUAUCCACCUGGGGAGUACGUUCGCAAGAAUGAAACUCAAAGGAAUUGACGGGGGCCCGCACAAGCGGAGGAACAUGUG
rnacentral:rRNA from 1 species